AACAAUGGUGCUAGGGUUGCCAUGUGGUGAAACUUACUCCUUCUCUUCAAUUAUAUGAGGCCUCCUAUAGGCUCCGGCUUUUCUUGAUACUUCAAAAAUACCAAAAAAAAAAACAAAUUGUAUUUAUUAAUGAUGGAAGAGCAAAGCAAAUGAGAGACAGAGACACAGUGCCUAUAUCAGAGAGUAAAUUGGUGAAGUGGAUUGAAACACAUAUGGUACGUAACUAAAAGCAAGAGAUCUUUUUUUGUGUGCUAAUCCUGAAACCUUGGUUUUGUUUUCUUCUUUGUGUUGCUCUAGAAGCCAUGGAGUCUCCGAGGAACCAUCGUGGCUCUGGGGAGAGUGAGGAAUACAGCAGUUGUGAGUCAGGGUGGACUAUGUACAUAGAAGACGCCUUCCAUGGAAAUGACCAUUCAUCUGUUGUCGUUGAUGAUGAUGAUGAUGAUACACAGGUAAAAGCGGCUUAUGAUGGUUAUGAGAACGAUGAUGGUGAUAGUAGUGAUGAUGGAGAUAACGAAGAGAGUGAUGAUUCAAUGGCUUCUGAUGCAUCUUCGGGAAAUAGCAAACAGUUUCCGAAGAACACCAGCAAACAUGCAGCAAGGAAGAAUGGUUCUAAACAAGUCUACCUUCAAAAACGCCAACACACAGACAAAACAUUCAGCAACGAAGGAGAAAAAUCAGACCUCAAAGCUAGAACAAGAACAAGCGCAGCUAGUCGAGUCCAAAGUAGAGGCAAGGUGAGCAAAACCAAAUAAUACUCAGGGAGAAGAAGAUAUGGGGGUUCACAAAGAAUCCCAAUCCUGUAAUGAAGAGAGACGUUUCAGGUCUCUCACCAAUCUUGUUGUUUGCCUUUAAUAAGCCAUGUGUAGGUAGUUGCAUUGUUUUCUUUUGCCGGAGUAUGUUUUUUUUGGUAGAUGCUGUCCCAAAUAAGUUAUCUGCACGGUUCUCCGUUGGAACCCUGUUAUAUAAUAUGUACCUUGUUCUUCAGAGAUUUCCCUCGAACUCAAAACAGAGCAUAUCCUGAUAUGCAUGUUCAACACAGGAGCCAUCAAG
rnacentral:lncRNA from 1 species